UCGGGAGGUAAACGCCUCCUAAAUUUUUUACAUGUGUGGUUACGUCUCAUCUAUGUGAGAGUUUAACGUGUGGAAGAAUUGACCAAAUUAGGUCACGGAGAGGUAGGUAAAAGCGUUUCCGUGUGAUAAGUGACGAUAGAUUAGGGUUGACCGCUUCGAUCGAGUCUCGAACGUUGCCGAAUCGAGAUGUAAUUUUAUGCCAUAGCCAUUGUUUUACUAUAAUGAUCAUAUCAGACGGGUGGCUAUUUUCAUUUUUGUGAAUUUUAGUCGUCGAAAUCACAACGUGUCUACUAAUGUGGUAAAACUUGUUUAUUAGGUUAUAUGUAAAUGUACAACUUUGUGAAUUAACUAUAGAGAGGAAGCAAAUUUUUUAAAAAUCUCGUGAAAUAAGAUGUGAUUAAUAUGGUGAAAUACGGCUAUGGUUGAAAAAUCACGUAUUUCGGGUAAUGUCUGGGUCCUGAUAAAAGCGGUCAACCCAUUUUACUCUUAAUCUUCCUUAUGGACAUGACGUUAUGAGGUCAUAAAUAUGUGAAAAUAAAAAUUCAACUGUCAGAUGUAGUCAUUGUAAUUAAAUAGGUAUACUGAACGAAAUCUACCCCGUUUCGGACUCGUUAGGCCCCUCAUCGAAUCGGUCAACCUUAAUUCAACCUCAUUUUUUACACGAAACGCGGUUGACCGACAUCGUGCUUUACCCUAUUUUUUCCUGUUUUCAAACCUAGAGCUCGUAUAUAUGAGAUUUAUGAACCCAUGAAAAAAUAUUGUUAAAUUGACCCUCUGGUGGUUAGGCUCCCCUUAGGAGCGCCUAAGCAUAAUUAAUGUUGACCACUUUUAUCGGGAACCAAACAUUAUCGGAAGUUUGUGAUUUUUCAACAUUAGUCGUAUUUCAUUGUUUCAGUCACAUCGUACUUCACAGGAUUUUUCAAAAUUUUGCUUUCUAUGUAUAUUUGGUUCAAAAUGACGUACACAUGUAUAUAACCAACUAAACAAAUUAUACCACAUUAAUAGACACGUUGUGGUUCCGAUGGCUAAAUUUCACAAAAUGAAAAUUCAACCGUCUGAUAUGAUCAAUGUACUUAAAUACGGCUAUGAAAAAAAAUUCAACUCGAUUCGGCAACGUUCAGGGCUUGAUCGAAGCGGUCAACCAUAAUCUAUCGUCACUUAUCACACGAAAACGCUCUUACCUACCUCUCUAUGACCUAAUUUGGUCGAUUCUUCCACACGUCUCUC
rnacentral:lncRNA from 1 species